rnacentral:lncRNA from 1 species
AAAGAAAAUACUUGACCCGAUGUAAGCAUCUGCCAUGUUCAGGCGCUCCAGGCUAGCCUCUCUGUGUGGGAGCAUGAAGCCCGAUAAUCGACACACUCCAGCUGAUAUAAGCAUUUUCCAUAGUCAAAAGGUCUGUGAUGUCCUGUGUGUUCUGAGCAUAGAGAUGAAUAAUGCAUGCACUCCAGCUGCUAUAAGCACUUCCAUGGUUACGAGCUCUCUGGUUGCAUCUGUGAGUUAGGAGCAUAGAGACCAAUAAUAGACGCACGCUGAUUUAAGCAUUCUUCCAUGAUCGCAAGUUCUAUGGCUACAUCUUUGUGUUGGAGAAUGGAGACCAAU